rnacentral:misc_RNA from 1 species
CCAGCGGAGGGAUCAUUACCGAGUUUUCAACUCCCUAACCCUUAUGUGAACCUACCUAUUGUUGCUUCGGCGGACUCGCCCCAGCCGGACGCGGACUGGACCAGCGGCCGCCGGGGACCCUCAAACUCUUGUAUUAUCAGCAUCUUCUGAAUACGCCGCAAGGCAAAACAAAUAAAUCAAAACUUUCAACAACGGAUCUCUUGGCUCUGGCAUCGAUGAAGAACGCAGCGAAAUGCGAUAAGUAAUGUGAAUUGCAGAAUCCAGUGAAUCAUCGAAUCUUUGAACGCACAUUGCGCCCGCCAGCAUUCUGGCGGGCAUGCCUGUUCGAGCGUCAUUUCAACCCUCGACCUCCCUUUGGGGAAGUCGGCGUUGGGGACCGGCAGCACACCGCCGGCCCUGAAAUGGAGUGGCGGCCCGUCCGCGGCGACCUCUGCGUAGUAAUCCAACUCGCACCGGAACCCCGACGCGGCCACGCCGUAAAACACCCAACUUCUGAACGUGACCUC